CCACGCCGUAAACGAUGAGUACUAGGUGUCGGAGGUUUCAAUACCCUCGGUGCCGCAGUUAACGCAAUAAGUACUCCGCCUGGGGACUACGGUCGCAAGACUGAAACUCAAAGGAAUUGACGGGGGCCCGCACAAGCGGUGGAGCAUGUGGUUUAAUUCGACGCAACGCGAAGAACCUUACCAAGACUUGACAUCCCGCUGACCGGUUUUGUAAUGAAACCCUUCCCUCGGGACAGCGGUGACAGGUGGUGCAUGGUUGU
rnacentral:rRNA from 1 species